rnacentral:sRNA from 1 species
CUGGCAAGCCUGAAAAAUGAAGUCCCCUAUUUAUUUGGCCUCCAGGUCUUGCACAGGAAGCGACACUGCAGGCUUUCUCAAACUGUUGUGCCAAAGUGACCACAAUCUUGACCUGGAAGGCUCACUCUGGGAAUAAGAGGCAAUUCACAUUUCUGACAGCCUCAUUCCCAACCCUCC